UGCUACUCGGCAGGAACUCAUCCACAGAUUCGACCCGCUUUCACCUUCCUCCACUAGAUUUUCCAUCGGGGAAAGGCAACAACUCUCCUCCUCUGUUGAAAUCAAUCGUUGGUCUCCAUCUUCUCGCAUUUCCAUAGCAAAAUGUCAAAGCUCUUUGCUUGUUAGCUUCUCAUUUCCACUACAAGCUUUACCCUUUUCUUGCUAGGAAAUUUUUGGGCCAACUCGCCUCCUCCCCCUCCUCCACUCUCCCUUCCCUAUUCCCAAACCCUCUUCCUAUCCAAAUCCCGAGGCUUGGUGACUAGCGUCGUAUACACAGCUUGGUUCAUCCACAAGAGUUGAUCACGAGUUUGAUUUUGGUCACGCGUAAAGCUCAUCCUCAGAUUCAUUGCCCUAGCAGUCUCCUCCACUGGAUUUCCCUGUUUAGAGAGCUCUUUCAUGCACCAUAGAUAUUGCCUCAUUAGCAACUUGGUUCACUUCAUUGGACACAUACUUUAAAUAUUCUGAGAUAUUUUUUGCUGAACAGAAGUUUACCUUGGCCUGUCGCUGGUAAACAAAAUGCGCAGCUUGAGGCACGAGAGUUGCACAUGGAGAUC